rnacentral:rRNA from 1 species
UACGUAGGGGGCAAGCGUUGUCCGGAAUCAUUGGGCGUAAAGAGCGUGUAGGCGGCCAGAAAAGUCCGCUGUGAAAACUCGAGGCUCAACUUCGAGCUGUCGGUGGAAACUUUCUGGCUAGAGUCCGGAAGAGGAGAAUGGAAUUCCUGGUGUAGCGGUGCAAUGCGCAGAUAUCAGGAAGAACACCCGUGGCGAAGGCGGUUCUCUGGGACGGUACUGACGCUGAGGCGCGAAAGCGUGGGGAGCGAACAGG